CAGAAAGAAGGAAUCUAUAUCUACCCGGAUCUCUCAUUAAAAAUGAAUUGUUACACAAGUUUACUGAUACUAGUCACGUGGUGUUUUACACCGCUUCUAGCAGAUGAGUGUGUAUUAAAUGUAUGUCCUAGUUCAGCAUUUGGUAUGUAUCGUCACUGUUCAGAUUGUACCAUUUUUGUGAUGUGUGUUGGCAGUAUGGUAAUACCUAUAGGCUGUCCAGUUGGUCUGAGAUACGAUACGUCACUAGCAGUUUGUAACUAUGCCAGUCAAACCCCAUGUGUGACUGGCAUUUCAUCGAACCCUACCUCACCAACGUCAGUCACGUCGCCUACAUCAAUGACAUCACCAACAUCGGUCACAUCGCCAACGUCGAUUACAUCGCCAACAUCGAUGACGUCACAAACGUCAGCUACUUCGCCUACCGCAGUGACCUCCCCGACAUCCGCUACCAGCAUGACAUCACCAACAUCGGUCACAUCGCCAACGUCAGCUACUUCGCCUACCUCAGUGACCUCCCCGACAUCCGGCACCAGCCCCACCUCACCCUCGCCAUGUAUUAUAAAUUGUUUCGGAAAGAAUAAUGGGGAUUUCCAAUCUUGUUUUUCAUGUAACACGUAUGCUACGUGUUCCAAUGGAACUUUAAUUGAUAAGAGACCAUGUGCGGGCAGCCUUGUAUGGGAUGAUUUGGCCAAGGUAUGCCAACAAACGUCAUCAACAUGUAGAUAGAUUAAGAAAUGCAAAAUUGCGAAAUAAUUCUUAUAAAUAUGUUGGUGCCACAAACAUUCUGUAUUUAUAUUAAAAUAUAAGAGAUAAAAAAGAAAAAAAGAAAUUAAUAUUAUGUAGUUGAGAUAUGUCUGUGUAUUUUCCUCUCCUAGUACAAGGAUCGCAUUAACUUUAUGUUUUACAAUCUAUAUUUUCACGUUUUAGUUCAGUCUAGUGUAAUUAUGUGUUAUCUAUAACCCGUUCCUUGUGUAUGACCUCAC